rnacentral:rRNA from 1 species
CUUCGGGCCUCUUGCCAUCAGAUGUGCCCAGAUGGGAUUAGCUAGUAGGCGGGGUAAUGGCCCACCUAGGCGACGAUCCCUAGCUGGUCUGAGAGGAUGACCAGCCACACUGGAACUGAGACACGGUCCAGACUCCUACGGGAGGCAGCAGUGGGGAAUAUUGCACAAUGGGCGCAAGCCUGAUGCAGCCAUGCCGCGUGUGUGAAGAAGGCCUUCGGGUUGUAAAGCACUUUCAGCGGGGAGGAAGGCAGUAAGGUUAAUAACCUUGCUGAUUGACGUUACCCGCAGAAGAAGCACCGGCUAACUCCGUGCCAGCAGCCGCGGUAAUACGGAGGGUGCAAGCGUUAAUCGGAAUGACUGGGCGUAAAGCGCACGCAGGCGGUCUGUUAAGUUGGAUGUGAAAUCCCC